UACAGAGGUCCCAAGCGUUGUUCGGAUUCACUGGGCGUAAAGGGUGCGUAGGCGGUCGGGUAAGUCUGAUGUGAAAUCUCACAGCUUAACUGUGAAACUGCAUUGGAUACUAUUCGGCUAGAGAGUUGGAGGGGGGACUGGAAUUCUUGGUGUAGCAGUGAAGUGCGUAGAUAUCAAGAGGAACACCAGUGGCGAAGGCGAGUCCCUGGACAACUUCUGACGCUGAGGCACGAAAGCUAGGGGAGCAAACAGG
rnacentral:rRNA from 1 species